rnacentral:rRNA from 1 species
GAUGAACGCUGGCGGCGUGCCUAAUACAUGCAAGUCGAGCGAACAGACGAGGAGCUUGCGCCUCUGACUUUGUCGGCGGACGGGUGAGUAACACGUGGAUAACCUACCUAUAAGACUGGGAUAACUUCGGGAAACCGGGGCUAAUACCGAAUGACAUGUUGAACCGCAUGGUUCAACAGUGAAAUACGGUCUUUCUUUCACUAAUAGCUGACUCCGCGCCUCAUUAGUUAGUUGGUAAGGUAACUGCUUACCAAGGCAACGAUGGGGAGCCGCCCCGAGAGGGUGAUCGGCUAGACGGGAACUGAGACAGGGCACACACUCCUACGCGGGGAAGCAGUCCGGAAUCCUACGCAAUGGGGGAAAGGCUGACGGAGGAACGUCGGGGGAGUGCAGAAGGUCUUCGGCUCGGAAAACUAUGUUAUUAGGGAAGAACAAAAGCGCAAGUACCCAGGAACGUAUUGACGGUACCGAAACAGAAAGCACCGGCUAACUCCGUG